ACUACGGGUGGCUGCAGUGGGGAAUAUUGGGCAAUGGGCGCAAGCCUGACCCAGCAACGCCGCGUGAAGGAAGAAGGCUCUCGGGUUGUAAACUUCUUUUCUGGGGGACGAACAAAUGACGGUACCCCAGGACUAAGCCACGGCUAACUACGUGCCAGCAGCCGCGGUAAUACGGAGUGGGCAAGCCUAAUCCGGAUUUGCUGGGUGUAACGGGCGUGGAGGCGGGAAUGCAGAUCAGAUGCGCAAACUCAGGGCUCAAACCUGAGCCUGCAUUUGAAACUGGGUUUCUUGAGUGCUGGAGAGGUAAUCGGAAUGCGGGGUGUAGCGGUGAAAUGCGUAGAUAUACGGAGGAACACCGGUGGCGAAGGCGGAUUGCUGGACAGUAACUGACGCUGAGGCGCGAAAGCGUGGGGAGCAAACAGGAUUAGAUACCCCUGUAGUC
rnacentral:rRNA from 1 species